AUUGAACGCUGGCGGCAGGCCUAACACAUGCAAGUCGAGCGGAUGAAGGGAGCUUGCUCCUGGAUUCAGCGGCGGACGGGUGAGUAAUGCCUAGGAAUCUGCCUGGUAGUGGGGGAUAACGUCCGGAAAAGGGCGCUAAUACCGCAUACGUCCUGAGGGAGAAAGUGGGGGAUCUUCGGACCUCGCGCUAUCGGAUGAGCCUACGUCGGAUUAGCUAGUUGGUGGGGUAAAGGCCUACCAAGGCGACGAUCCGUAACUGGUCUGAGAGGGUGAUCCGGCACACUGGGAGUGGAACGCGGUACAGGCACCUAGGGGCGGCAGCAGUGGCGAAGAUUGGACAAUGGGCGGAAGCCUGCUCCAGCCAUGCCGGGUGUGUGAAGAAGGUCUUCGGAUUGUAAAGCACUUUUAGUGGGGAGGACGGGCAGUAAGUUAAUCCCUUGUUGUUUUGACGUUACCAACAGAAUAAGCACCGGCUAACUUCGUG
rnacentral:rRNA from 1 species